rnacentral:rRNA from 1 species
UACAGAGGUCUCGAGCGUUGUUCGGAUUCAUUGGGCGUAAAGGGUGCGUAGGUGGCGCUGUAAGUCGGGUGUGAAAUCCUGGGGCUUAACCCCGGAACUGCAUUCGAUACUGCAGUGCUUGAGGACUGGAGAGGAGACUGGAAUUCAUGGUGUAGCAGUGAAAUGCGUAGAGAUCAUGAGGAAGACCAGUGGCGAAGGCGGGUCUCUGGACAGUUCCUGACGCUGAGGCACGAAGGCCAGGGGAGCAAACGGG